GAUGAACGCUGGCGGCGUGCUUAACACAUGCAAGUCGAACGAUUAAACUGGCUUCGGCCAGAUAUAGAGUGGCGAACGGGUGAGUAACACGUGACCAACCUGCCCCGCGCUCCGGGACAACCGCUGGAAACGGCGGCUAAUACCGGAUGCUCCGGGGAGGCCCCAUGGCCUCCCCGGGAAAGCCCUGACGGCGCGGGAUGGGGUCGCGGCCCAUUAGGUAGACGGCGGGGUAACGGCCCACCGUGCCCGCGAUGGGUAGCCGGACUGAGAGGUCGACCGGCCACAUUGGGACUGAGAUACGGCCCAGACUCCUACGGGAGGCAGCAGUGGGGAAUUUUGCGCAAUGGGGGGAACCCUGACGCAGCAACGCCGCGUGCGGGACGAAGGCCUUCGGGUUGUAAACCGCUUUCAGCAGGGAAGACAUAGACGGUAC
rnacentral:rRNA from 1 species